rnacentral:rRNA from 1 species
UACGAGAGGCCCAAACGUUAUUCGGAAUUACUGGGCUUAAAGGGUGCGUAGGCGGUGUAGCAAGUCGGGAGUGAAAUACCCCAGCUUAACUGAGGAAUUGCUUUCGAUACUGCUGCGCUUGAGUGAGACAGAGGUAAGCGGAACUUAGGGUGGAGCGGUGAAAUGCGUUGAUAUCCUAAGGAACCCCGGUGGCGAAGGCGGCUUACUGGGUCUCAACUGACGCUGAGGCACGAAAGCUAGGGUAGCAAACGGG